UCCGUAGGUGGAUAAUUAAGUCAGAGGUGAAAUCCUGCAGCUCAACUGUAGAAUUGCCUUUGAUACUGGUUAUCUUGAGUCAUUAUGAAGUGGUUAGAAUGUGUAGUGUAGCGGUGAAAUGCAUAGAUAUUACACAGAAUACCGAUUGCGAAGGCAGAUCACUAAUAAUGUACUGACACUGAGGGACGAAAGCGUGGGGAGCGAACAGGAUUAGAUACCCUGUAGUCC
rnacentral:rRNA from 1 species